rnacentral:rRNA from 1 species
CGUGUAGGCGGCCUCGUAAGUACCUUGUGAAAGCCCUCGUCUCAACCGAGGAACUGCUUGGUAUACUGCGAGGCUUGAGGCAGGUAGGGGUGCUUGGAACUCUGGGUGGAGCGGUGAAAUGCGUAGAGAUCUAGGGGAACGCCGGUGGCGAAAGCGGAGCACUGGGCCUGACCUGACGCUGAGACGCGAAAGCGUGGGUAGCAAACGGGAUUAGAUACCCCGGUAGUCCACGCCCUAAACGAUGCGCACUAGGUUUGCUGACUUCUGACAGCCAGCGAGCCGGAACAAAAGCGAUAAGUGCGCCGCCUGGGGAGUACGGCCGCAAGGCUAAA